rnacentral:rRNA from 1 species
GGGUAUAUGUCUUCGGAUAUAGAGACCGGCGCACGGGUGCGUAACGCGUAUGCAAUCUACCUUUCACAGAGGGAUAGCCCAGAGAAAUUUGGAUUAAUACCUCAUAGUAUUAUUGAGUGGCAUCACUUAAUAAUUAAAGUCACAACGGUGAAAGAUGAGCAUGCGUCCCAUUAGCUAGUUGGUAAGGUAACGGCUUACCAAGGCAACGAUGGGUAGGGGUCCUGAGAGGGAGAUCCCCCACACUGGUACUGAGACACGGACCAGACUCCUACGGGAGGCAGCAGUGAGGAAUAUUGGACAAUGGGCGCAAGCCUGAUCCAGCCAUGCCGCGUGCAGGAUGACGGUCCUAUGGAUUGUAAACUGCUUUUGUACGAGAAGAAACACUGCUUCGUGAAGCAGCUUGACGGUAUCGUAAGAAUAAGGAUCGGCUAACUCCGUGCCAGCAGCCGCGGUAAUACGGAGGAUCCAAGCGUUAUCCGGAAUCAUUGGGUUUAAAGGGUCCGUANGCGGUUUAGUAAGUCAGUGGUGAAAGCCCAUCGCUCAACGGUGGAACGGCCAUUGAUACUGCUGAACUUGAAUUA